rnacentral:lncRNA from 1 species
UGUCCAUGAAAAAUUCAACUUUGCUGACAUGUGCGCUUCAGUUUUCUGUACUUCCAUAUUUACUGAAGAAAGGGUGGGAAAGAAAUUACCCCAAUUUAAACAGCUUCUUUGUCUGAUAACAGAUGUCUUUAAAGAUAAUUACAGGUAUUUGACAAAUUGAAUCUAUCUGUCCUAUUCUUACAAAUAUCAAAUUAUGUAUAAUAAGAUGAAACUAACCCUCAAUACCAAAAACUAAAUAAAGACCAG